UCAGGACGAACGCUGGCGGCGUGCCUAACACAUGCAAGUCGAACGGGGAUAUGUUUUCGGAUGUAUCCUAGUGGCGCACGGGUGAGUAACGCGUGAGCGACCUGACCCAAAGAGGGGGAUAACAUCGAGAAAUCGAUGCUAAUACCGCAUAAGACCACGGAGUCGCAUGGCUCUGAGGUCAAAGGAGCAAUCCGCUUUGGGAGGGGCUCGCGUCCCAUUAGAUAGUAGACGGGGUAACGGCCCACCUAGUCAGCGAUGGGUAGCCGAGCUGAGAGGCUGAUCGGCCACACUGGAACUGAGACACGGUCCAGACUCCUACGGGAGGCAGCAGUGGGGAAUAUUGGGCAAUGGGCGAAAGCCUGAACCCCAGCAACGCCGCGUGAGGGAAGAAGGUUUUCGGAUUGUAAACCUCUGUCGCAGAUGACGAAGAAAGUGACGGUAAUCUGUGAGGAAGCCCCGGCUAACUACGUGCCAGCCGCGGC
rnacentral:rRNA from 1 species